CGUAGGGUCCGAGCGUUGUCCGGAAUUAUUGGGCGUAAAGGGCUCGUAGGCGGUUUGUCGCGUCGGGAGUGAAAACACCGGGCUUAACUCGGUGCUUGCUUUCGAUACGGGCAGACUGGAGGUAUGCAGGGGAGAACGGAAUUCCUGGUGUAGCGGGGAAAUGCGCAGAUAUCAGGAGGAACACCGGUGGCGAAGGCGGUUCUCUGGGCAUUACCUGACGCUGAGGAGCGAAAGUGUGGGGAGCGAACAGG
rnacentral:rRNA from 1 species